AGAAAAUUAUAAAUGGGAUGGGGGUCUUGUGAGGAACGAAUACCUUUGCAAAGGGCAAUGGAAGGAGAGGAGAUACUACAUUUGUUGAAGGCAUGACUAGAGUAGGUGAUGGAGGAACAAGUGAUUAGUCAUCUGGAAUAGCCAGUAUACUUGUAUCAUCAUGAAGAGAAGUAUUAUUGGAGUUAGCAGGGGGAUGAGGACGAUGGAAUUAUAUGUGGAGAGGCGGACCAGGAAUACUGACUUGUGGAAAAGAAGAAGAAUAGGUAAAACUUAAAAAAUAGGCCUUUUAUUUUCUGUGUUUGGUGUAAAAUAUAG
rnacentral:misc_RNA from 1 species